rnacentral:pre_miRNA from 1 species
AAACAACCCCUUAUGUUUUGAUUCUUUAGCAGUUUUGGACCCCCAAGGCAAAAAAAAAAAAGUUUUGACAAGUGGCACCUCACUUAGGAUGCCACGUCAGCGUUGACCGAGUCAACAAUGGAUUGAGGGUCCAAAACUGCCAAAAAAUCAAAACAUAGGGGACUGUUU